AGACUCCUUUCACUGUGUUUAUUAGCUGGAGCAGGAGAAAUGAACCUGGCUUUGAGCAACUCCUUGGCUCUGUAUUGCUGCUGCUGAUGUGAACUCGCACACUUCUCCCAGACUGUUUACGGGUUUCAGUGGGAUUAACUUGGAGCAGUGCAAUAUGUGCACUUCAGAAAAUGUACUAAUCCAUCAGGGGACAAAACAAAGCAGACUGGACCAAAUAAGAUGGAGGAUGUCCUAAAACCAGUGGUCCCGUCUGGCUGUCGUCAUCAACUUGAAAAUUUGAGCUCCUGUGUCUCUGGCUCUCUCUGAUCGCUUAGUCUAGCCCAUCCUGGGUGAAAAAUAGACAUCUACACCCUUAUCUGUGGAAGUUUAAUCACAUUAAAUAUAAUUACUUAAAUAUUGUUUAACAAAAGAUAAAUAAAUAGAGAAUAAUAAAGA